GAUGAACGCUGGCGGCGUGCCUAAUACAUGCAAGUCGAGCGAACAGACGAGGAGCUUGCUCCUCUGACGUUAGCGGCGGACGGGUGAGUAACACGUGGAUAACCUACCUAUAAGACUGGGAUAACUUCGGGAAACCGGAGCUAAUACCGGAUAAUAUAUUGAACCGCAUGGUUCAAUAGUGAAAGACGGUUUUGCUGUCACUUAUAGAUGGAUCCGCGCCGCAUUAGCUAGUUGGUAAGGUAACGGCUUACCAAGGCAACGAUGCGUAGCCGACCUGAGAGGAUGAUCGGCCACACUGGAACUGAGACACGGUCCAAACUCCUACGGGAGGCAGCAGUAGGGAAUCUUCCGCAAUGGGCGAAAGCCUGACGGAGCAACGCCGCGUGAGUGAUGAAGGUCUUCGGAUCGUAAAACUCUGUUAUUAGGGAAGAACAAAUGUGUAAGUAACUAUGCACGUCUUGACGGUACCUAAUCAGAAAGCCACGGCUAACUACGUG
rnacentral:rRNA from 1 species